rnacentral:rRNA from 1 species
GAUGAACGCUGGCGGCGUGCCUAAUACAUGCAAGUCGAGCGAACAGAUAAGGAGCUUGCUCCUUUGACGUUAGCGGCGGACGGGUGAGUAACACGUGGGUAACCUACCUAUAAGACUGGGAUAACUUCGGGAAACCGGAGCUAAUACCGGAUAACAUUUGGAGCCGCAUGGUUCUAAAGUGAAAGAUGGUUUGGCUAUCACUUAUAGAUGGACCCGCGCCGUAUUAGCUAGUUGGUAAGGUAACGGCUUACCAAGGCGACGAUACGUAGCCGACCUGAGAGGGUGAUCGGCCACACUGGAACUGAGACACGGUCCAGACUCCUACGGGAGGCAGCAGUAGGGAAUCUUCCGCAAUGGGCGAAAGCCUGACGGAGCAACGCCGCGUGAGUGAUGAAGGGUUUCGGCUCGUAAAACUCUGUUAUUAGGGAAGAACAAAUGUGUAAGUAACUGUGCACGUCUUGACGGUAGCAUAUGAAUAAGGAUCGGCUAACUCCGUGCCAGCCGCCGCAGUAA